rnacentral:tRNA from 1 species
GUUGUUGUGGCCGAGUGGUUAAGGCGAUGUUUAGAAAUCCAGUGGGGCCAAAUAGGUUCAAAUCCUGCCAACAACA